CUAAACAAACUCUGCAGCAAACUGUCAAAUGUCUCUGUCAUCAAAUGAAACACACAACCAUUCUCAUCCCAUUCUCAUCCUGAAGUGUCUGUGCCAAAUUGUAUCAUGUUUAAGAACCAGCUGAUGAUCGAGGGAGAAGAAAAUAUACCAGAGAGAGAGAAACACGUCCUGAAUCAGAGAGCUCCUGUGCACGCUCACGCAGUGGGAACACUGUUACAAAGCAUUCCUGACUGCUUUAUGGAGCCUUCAGACACAGAAGCUAGCGAUAAACCUGGGAAAUGCUUAUGUGCUAUUUAAAGAAGUGCUGUCCUGGUCCUCAUGUAGGCUGAGAUGGAUACUUCUUCAUGCAGAAGGCAGUCUAGUAGACUUGCUCUUUCCACCGUGGCCAGAAAUUAGCCAAAGUCCUAAAAACAUCAGUAUAAGUGUAUUUCUGAGCUUCUGAAUGCUGAUCUGCACUGGGCCACGUGAGGCAGAACCUUACAGGCCAGGAGAAAAGGCAAUUGGGAAGUCUGCUAAACCCAGGAACAAAGGAUGGAAAAUAAAUGCAACAUCUGAGGUACCUUAAUGCAGCAUCCACCUAUCUCCAGCCUCUGCAAGCCCCUCUCACUCUUUCAGCUGGACCCAGACUGCCUGACAACUCGAUUGUCUUUCAGUCAGGUCUGGCCUCCGCUAUGGCUGAAAGGUGCAUUGUUACAUGGAACAGACUGUUUCCCGUGCGCUGCUGCAGCGUGGGAUCACAAGGAGACCGGCACAGCAGCAGGCUAUUUCCAUGCUGCAAACCAGUCCAGUGCUCUGGGGAAGAAGCUUAGAGCUGUUCCCUAGGAAUUAAGCUGGAAUUAGCUGAAGGAAAGACAUGCAUAAGCAAGCGAGGAGCAGCAGUAUGGUGAAGAUGCUGUGGUAAUGCAGGUUGAUUGUUCCUCUCAGUAGACCAACCCACUGCUAACAGCCUGAACUAUUAGACCAGCUCAAACAAAGCCAGCCCACGACGGACAGCAUGAACAUGUGUUGGUUCGCCUUGUCACAAGUUGAGCCCUUUCUGUGGACAUGUUGGCUCUGAGGUGGUGGGGCCACAAACUACAGACUUGCUGCAAGUGCAAUGCAAGGUUCUUGUAAUGUUGGAAAGCCAGAGCCCUAAGAACUGGGUGCAGAACAGGAGCUCCCUGUUGGUGCUUGCCAGCAGGUUGGGAGGAACACAGCCCCAUGACAGCAGCCCAGUAGGGAAGAGAGUGCAAGUGAGGAAGGGCGCUUGGUUGGACCACUCGGGUCUCAUCUGCAUGAAAGAAGCUGUGAUAUUUUUAUUAAAAUGAACAGUCUCUAAAGCUGCUCAGGGAGGAGGCCGGUGGUCCGUGCAGUCCGUACCACCAGACGGUUGGCAUCUGAACCUGUUGGCUGGCUUUUCUUUUUGGUCACUUCCAUGCUGAGACUGAGAAUAGCGCGUAGUUGAGACAAUGUACAGAGCGACAGAGUCAUUCUUUGCCAUGCACCUUCUCCCUUGUGUACGUCAAGUCGAGGAGGAAGGGUGGUGAAAUGGCAACUUGACAGUUCGGGAUACUAGUGCUCUGCUGGUGCAGCCAGCGUUAAGGUGGGAAGCGAUGGGAGCCCAGCACUAACUUUGCACUACGGUCUUCGUGUUGUUUUCACAAGUACUCUCAGGCCACUGUGGGAAAUGCUGCCCGUGAGUUCUUUGCUCUUUCAUCAACUCGGAGCUGAAUUUCAGCAGUUCGUUUCUGGCCAAGAGGUUCUCUUUUAACCACUUGCAGACACUUCAAUGCUGGUUACCUCUGGCUGAAGAUGUGAAGUGUACCACGAGAAAGCUCAGAAGUGACAUACCUAGGGGUUGGAGCAUCCCAUGAGCGUGGUUGUGCUGAAACUCUUCCUGCCAGCAUUCCUCCAAAACUCCCAGGGACUCCAGGUCCUGAAAUCCUCGCCCCGGUACGGCGGCUCCACGACACAUGGCAGCGCAGUUUGUGCCUUGCAGCAGAGGUGGUGCCAGGGAGCAGCGUGGAGCUGGUGCGGAGGAAUACUUACUGAGAGGAGUAUUCCUGCGGUAAAUAAUUGUCUUUGCCAGAACAAGCAAAAAGGAGGAGUGCCCAUGCCAUAAACCAGCAGAUUUCCCCCAGCACACCCUCGUGCUUGGCCGUGCUGCUGCCAGGGAGGGGAGCUGCCUGGGUCUGUGCUUAUCCCAGCUGAGGCAGUAAGUUGGGACAUGACCACCUGGAAGACCACACGUUCAGGAGCUUUGUGGUUCUGGGACUUCAGCCUCCAUCUCCCAAGUUUCUUGAAAUCCAACAGACACAUGUGCCCGCCUGCCCUGGGACACGCUUUCUAUCGGUCUCCCUUCCUGAGCACUCUUCAAAGUCUUGGGUUUUCGUGACUAUGUCAUUAAAAAGAAAAGAAUUUGUUGCUUGUGUGAAUUUAGGCUAAAGGCCUUCAGGAGACAACCUGAUCUGGUGCCGCAGGUACCAGUAGAGGAUUUUGCAUGAUCAUGUUUCUACGUCUGGAAGUGGUGGUUCCUAAUGUCAUGGCUUCAAAGAUGUCUGUUCCAGAUAUUUCUGGUGUGGUUAUGAGGUGGAUGUUUCUUCCUGACGAUAUGCAUGUUCAAAACCCCUGACUUGAUGUUCAUGCCAGGACAUUCAUUGCAAUUACCCUGAUUUGACAGCAACUGUUAAAGGAAAUAAAAAUGACAGCUUUGGAGCAGUCCUGUCAUGCAGCAUGAUGGCUCUUGGCAGCAGGAGACCUAAUCACCCUCCUGAAGAUGUCUGUUGAGAUCCCACGUCUGAAUAGCAAAGUGCUCAACAAAGCCACUGCACACCUGAGAUCUCCACCCAAGAAAGGCUGUGUUACUGAGAUGAAGUUGCACAACACACAUCUUACAGUGGCAGGAUUUCUUUGAGACAAGCCCCACUACCUUUGUAUGGGAAAGUAAGGUAAAGGUGGACUGCCUGAGCCCUUGAAUCCAAUUCCCUGAACUUCGAGGCUCCUGUGUAGGAGGUGUCCACUGAAGGAGGGCCUCCAGACACAUGUCAGCAUUGUACCAAUGUCAUUGGUACAAGCUUCCUGACAACGUGGUACAUUGCAGAAGGAAGCUUUCAUUGUCCUCACAUUGCACCCUGAGGAAUGGUUACCAUUUGCAGCAAUACCUGCUCUCUGUCCAGUGUCUCUGGUUUGCUGCUCAAGGAAGUGGAGCGACCUAAUUUCACUAAAGGCUUAGGAAAAUCCUAGUCUGCUAUGAUCAGGAGCUACUGACACCCGCCGGCAGGUGAUGAAUUAGUGCAGCACAGUUGGAGCUACUCGAGGGCUGCAGAUGCGAAUCCCAGAGCUGUUUCUAUGUCUAUUUGAGCACUGGAGGAGACAAAGUGGACAUCUGAUUGCUGUCCAUGACCCUUAAGAGGAAGAUAUGCAGAAGACUGAGCCAGACUGACCUCAGAGAUGCAUAGGUAAGAAGCAACACAUAGAAACUGCAGCAUGGGAAAUUCUGACUAGCUGUAGUGAAAAUGUGUCCACCUUGGGGAUGGUCAGAUGCCAGACCAGGGGCCCAGAAAGGCUGCAAGAUCUCCAGUCCUGGAGAUGUUCAAAACUCAGCCAGACAAGGCAACCAGGAAAGCUGGGCCUGCUCGGUCUGGAGGCCAUGCUUUUAGCUGUGGCUGGAGUGACCUGUGUGUGACACUGGGGAUGGCACUAUUCAAGCCCUCCAAGCCUGAUCCAGCCCCAGUUAAAUCUGCCAGGUGAGUCUACCUACUUUUAAAUGACACUGGUCUCAAUCAGCAUUGCAGGAUGUGUCUUGCUGGCACUGUCCUUACUUAGGGGCAGUUACAAGCACAACCCUUCAUAAUAGGAUGCAGCAGUGGCUCUCUCCUGAAAGGCCCCUCCCAAAGCCAGCAGGAAAGGAGACAAUACUGCCACAACCCCAUGAACCUCCCAGCACGUGGACCUGGGGGAACUGGCAGUGACGUCUCUCCCUGCCACGACUGCACGUUUGGAUGCAGUGAGAUUUUCAGUCUCCCUUGCCUGCACAGGGCUGAUGAGCCAGCCCUGCUCUGAGCACAGGGCACAGCAGCCCCUGGGCUGCAGGACAGGAGGUUCGCUUUGGUGCUGUGCCAGUCUUUUCCUUUUAACAAUAGGAAAAACAACUACACAAAGCCAUGUGCCUUCGUGUAGUGAGCAGAAGGCUUUUUGGCCUCAGCUGGAGCACAGACCAAUGUGUGAUAUCUCAGAAGCUGAAUGGAAAGGGAUUCUACUCAUGGCAUCAUCACUUCCCACGUACGUCCCCUCUCUGGUUCCCACUGCAACAAGGAGGCUUCAAACAAGAGCUGUCUGUCUCCUGCACAGCUGUACCCUUCACCUGUACACAUCAGGUCAGUACUGCUGGAGAUAAUGGUGAGAGAUGCCAUCACUCACAAUCAAUUACUGGCCACCACCUGGUGCCACGCUCCCCUGAGGAGCCCUCUCCAGCACCCAAGAAACCCCAGGAGGAGAGCGCUCGGUCCCUUCCCCUGUGCUUGGCUUCCAGUGUAACACAAUCUCAGGGCUCUCCGUACCUACCCGUGCCUGCAGAGUCCUUUGGGCUUUUGUAGGCUUGCUGACAUUUAUAUACAUUUCUAAAUAUCACUGAAGUAUUGCUGAGAGAGGGAAACGUGGAGUGAAUGACAUGGACUUGUGAGCAGCAAUGGGAAAAAGGUAGUUGAAAGUUUGAUUGUAGUAACCGUGCCAAUACCCCCCGAGAAACAAAGCCUCCUGCAGGCACAGUGCCUUUUCCAAGAGAUGAAAUGAACUUCUUUAGGUUUAGCCCUAAGUAAACGAUGGUCCAGCUCAUAAAACAUCCUGAAGUGCAGAACUGUUUACAGACUUUAUUUGUCUUGAGCCUUGCGCUUUGUGAGAUCAGAGGCGAUUUCAUUACCCAUCUUUGUGCAAUGUCAUUCCGGCUGGAUCACAAAUGCCAUGUGAGUGUUUACAGUAAUGAAAAUACAUUACAGCCGGAAAGGAUGGCUGCAGCUUAAUAGAAAUAUUCUUCUAGAACAGAUGAGGGCCAAUCCCAAGGAUGGGCUCUUCCUUGCUUCUUUUUACUGACUUCUGCGUUCCUCGUAGCUGUAGCUGAAUGAGAGGACCUCUCCUGGCCCUGACACCCUUUCUGGAGACAGGGCAAAGCAGAAAGGGCAGGACCGAGCCUUACAUUUCCUGUAAGGGGGCCAUCAGUUUUGGGCAGCUAAUUAUAGUUUUGGUGGCAAAUUAUUGCCACUGCUGCACUGUGGAUGGUGGAGCAGCAGCGAGGCACAGCCAGCCAGCUUGGAUUUCACAUCAAAUGGAGCUUGGUCAGCUUCCAGGACUGGAAUUUAGCUUUUUAUUUUCCAAGAAAGGAUGCAAGCAAUUUGUCUUUAGGAUGCUAUAAAGACGCCUUCAAGAAUAUCAUAUAGUCUGCUAAUGCUGCAGAGAACCUCUUAAAAACUUAAUUGCCUGUGUCACCAAAUGAGAAGAGAGUAGUCCCUUGAAACAUCCUGUGUUUUGAAAACACACAGUCAGUUCUAAAUACUUUCAAAUGGUACAUGCUUCUUUACUCCUGCUGACAAUAAGAGUAAUUGCUGAGCACAGGAUAAAGGAGAUUGUCUGAAAUGUUUCAGCACGAUUUUCUUGUUCCAUGUUUUUUUUUUUUUUUUUCACAAUGCAAAAAGACAGAGGCAUUCUUGGUCUGUGACCAAACAAACAGAGGAGUUUUCUUCUGGUGCCAAGAGGCAGGCAAGACACAGAGAUCUCAAUAACAAAGUGACUCUCUUCAUCUGAGAGCUCCUCACCUCCCAUCCCCGGUUCCCUUUGUCCUUUCUUCACCAGAUACUCCAAAACCUGUGAUGUUUUAGGGAUCACUGAAAGGCAGAUGGACAAACCCAGUUAAUCACAGUUACACCCUGUGCUGUUGUAUCAGCACAGAGCAGGGGGACCUGAAGGUCCCAGAGACACCAGGGCUGCUUGGUGCUCGCACCACAUCUGGGCAUGGUGAGCCGGGUUAAAAGGACCAAACCCCGAGGGCUGAGAUGAACGAUGUGAGCAAAGCCCAGAGCAGUGACAGAGGUGGCACUCUGAAAUCCAGGUCCCAUUUCCAGCAGGGCACACUGCCUUUUAAAAGGAGAAAAAGCAUUUUCGAAGCCUGCUACUCAGACUUCAAAGAAAACAGGCUCUGUCAAGGAUGACUUCCAUAGAGGAGAGGCCAAGAAAUAGUGUCUGGAGCCAGGGUGGUUUUGGCUGAGCAGUGCCUUCCAGUUUUGGUCCCCUGUAAGCGUGCUAGACUCAGCCUCAGCAUUCCUGCUAUGAAUCUGCUGCCCACCAGGAUGACAGACAGGGAGGUUUCCUCCCAUCAGUUACUCACUGCGCUGACUCACUGACGUCUCUGUUACUUCUGGGGUACAGGAGACCUUGAGCACCUCACUUUGCUCCCUCACCUCCGCCUUUUAUUUUAGCCGUAACGUUUAGC